rnacentral:rRNA from 1 species
AUUGAACGCUGGCGGCAGGCCUAACACAUGCAAGUCGAGCGAGCGGCGGACGGGUGAGUAAUGUAUGGGGACUGCCCGAUCGAGGGGGAUAACUACUGGAAACGGUGGCUAAUACCGCAUACUAUCGGACAACCCAUAUGGGAUUAGCUAGUAGGUGGGGUAAAGGCUCACCUAGGCGACGAUCUCUCGCUGGUCUGAGGGGAUGCUCAGCCACAUUGGGACUGAGACACGGCCCGCACCCCUACGGACGCUGCUGUUGGACUAUUGCGCAAUGGGCGCAAGCCUGCUGCAGCCAUGCCGCGUGUAUGACGACGGCCUUAGGGUUGUAAAGUACUUUCAUCGGGUAGUCGUUACCCGCAGCAGAAGCGCCCGCUAACUCCGUGCCAGCAGCCGCGGUAAUAC